CCAGCCACAGCAACAGUCUCUAAGGCUGGGCUCAAAAUCAGAAAGAGGAAGAAAGAGGACUGGACAAAGGAGAGGGAGGAUCCCCCAGCCCUCAGUGUCUUUAAAUAGGAACAGAUGGAUGCAAAUGAGAUCCAGAGUUUGCUCUCCCUCACCCAUUCUCUGCUUCCUGGCCCUUGUUGGAUUGGUGAGGACCAUAGAAAUCUGCAGCCACAGAAUGCUCAAGAGAAGAGCUGUGGACACCAACACUCCAUCAAAGAAGAAGAUGCUGGAGCUGGAGUGAUGGCUUAGUUGAUAAAGCAUUUGCUGUGCAAGAAUGAGUACUGAGUUUGGAUGCCCAAAGCAUAUUUACAUGCUAUGUUAAGUGUGGUAGUUCACCUAUAAUUCCUGCACUCAGGAGGUAGAGACAAAAAAGAGUCCCAAGAGCAAGCUGGCUAGCUGGACUAGUUCUAUUUAUUGGUGAGCUCUGGGUUCAACUGAGAGAGUCUGCCUCAAUGAAGAAGGCGGAGAGUGAUAAAAAUAAGAACCCCAACCUUGGACCUCCACAUACAUAUUCACAUAUGUGUAUACACAUACAUAUGUGCCUACACACAUAAAAGCAUGGUUGCACACCACCUUAAAAAAAAAAAGUUGUUGUUCAAGGUGCCUCUGACCCCAGUCCCAAACCCUAGGCCCCAGUCCUACCUCAAAAGACCCACUAUGGCCAGUCCAGGAGACAAGCCUUGGGUCUCUGCACAAGACUACAGUCAACAGCAGACUGUUCUUGCUUUCUCUGUCAGUGGAACAGUCAAUGUGAUUCUGUGAACUAAUAACCAGUCUUUUUUGUUUAAAUUUUGGAGUAAUUUAUUGUUUUAUUUAUGUGUAUGGGUGUUUGGUCUACACAUAUGUAAGUGCACCCAUGUCGUGUAGUGCCUGUGGAGGCCAAAAGAGUGUGUCUUCCUUUUUCAGCACUGAACCAAGAGCCUCACUCCACCAGGCAAGUGCUCUACCAUUGCCUUUUUUUUUUUU